rnacentral:rRNA from 1 species
AUGACUACUGUCCGAGUUCUUCUUGCAGUUGCCCUGGUCAUCUCCCUGCUCGCCCUUGGCCAUCCCCUUGCUCAUGCCCGCCAUGUGAAGGACCUGUCGUCCAUGCCAACCGGUGAUUCCUCGUCUGAAAAGAAAGGAUUACAGCAAGGGAGUAACAUGAAGCUCGAUGCCGGGAAGACGAAGAAAGUUGAAAACGUCGGAGUGGAGGAGACACCUAAGGGAUCUGCUGAACCAAGCUUCGGCAACCGGGGGAGCCUUGGUGCUGAGUCUGAUAAGGUGGCCGUGUUUGCUCGCCGUGGAGAACCACCCAAGCCUCACCCGAAAAAACACAACUAA